AAUCAACGCUGGCGGCGUGCCUCAGACAUGCAAGUCGAACGAUUAAAGCUCUCUUCGGAGAGUGUAUAGAGUGGCGCACGGGUGAGUAACACGUAAGUAAUCUACCUUUGAGUGGGGAAUAACAGUCGGAAACGACUGCUAAUACCGCAUAAUGCAGCGGCAUCGCAAGAUGACAGUUGUUAAAGGAGCAAUCCGCUUAAAGAGGAGCUUGCGGCAGAUUAGCUUGUUGGUAAGGUAACGGCUUACCAAGGCUACGAUCUGUAUCCGGUCUAAGAGGACGGUCGGACACACUGACACUGAAUAACGGGUCAGACUCCUACGGGAGGCAGCAGUCGGGAAUUUUGGGCAAUGGGCGAAAGCCUGACCCAGCAACGCCGCGUGAAGGAUGAAGUAUUUCGGUAUGUAAACUUCGAAGGAAUGGGAAGAAUCAAUGACGGUACCAUUUAUAAG
rnacentral:rRNA from 1 species